UGUGGGUAAAGGUGUCUUACAUGUUUAUGCAAUUUUAUUUCUGUCUACACUUGGUAAUUAAGUAUUUUUGAAAAUGACAUUUCAUCCUUCCUAGGCUGGAAAUUAUAUGCAGUCACCUUUAAUCAUUUUUGUGGCUGUGAGUUUAAAAGAUUAUGGAUAUACGGAGUUUUUGAAGAAAUCAAUUGAAGGCCUUUGGAGUUUUUUUUAACUGAACCAGUUGGUCUCAUGGAAAAAAGGUUCUGUUAUGUUGGUGUUAGAGAUCUUAGCAAAUAAGCUGACUGGCAUGAAAACUUGGAUUCAGUUACGAUUUGAUGCAAACUGUUGUUCGAAUGGUUCCACAAAGAAGUCUGCCAUUGACAGCCAUUUGUGACGGAGAUGGGACAGCUGAAGAUCAGGUUCUAACAGGUUCAGGGCGUCGCUAGCUAGGGAGCAUUGAUUGCCCACUCCUAAUUGCCCAGAAGGCGGUUCAAAGUCAAACACAUUGCAGUGGGUCUGGAGUCACAUGUAGGCCAGACAAGGACACACAUAUUAGAACUGCACCAUUUGAGACCAGCUACGGGAGGUGAACUGUACAGCUCACAGUCACACCGUUGUUGAAUGGAAAAACUAAACGUUCUGCAAGGCCAAUUCACUGAAUUGCAUCCUCUGAGUUCAAAGUAGAAAUUUCCUGUGGUGCCAAAUCUGUCUGGUUUCAACCAUGAGAUCCUGGACUGAUUCAAGACAACUAAUCUUGGUCUCUUCUGCUACAUUUGGUAUCUUGAUGAUCACUUGAAUGGUCACAAUAUUGAGAUUAGUGGACACUGUUAAUCCUGUUAUAGUUGUUUGAUUCAUGUCCAUCAGAUAAAAUAAUUGUGCUUUCCAUGCAGAAUUGUCAUAACUGCACUUCAAUGUCAAUACGCCAGUGUAAGGGAUGUGUACUCAGUUGUGUGCAGUUAAUUUUGCUGUUGUAGGUUGUAGGUUUGCCUUCCAGGUGUUCAGGUCAAUGUCAUUCAAAAUCUGAAUAGUAGGAUGUUUGUACUAGCUCCUGUGUUGACUUUUUUGGUCUUGGGCAUGCAUUUAUCAACAUUCUUUGCACAUUGAUGUUAAUUGCAGCAAAAGCUUACAACUAUUUGAUUUUGUCCAUGUGUCACAUUCAAACUUAGAACGUCUAUUCAUCUAACAACUGAAGUCUCUUCCAUUUUGAAUCUUCACCCUGGUCUCGCUGCUAACCUCAUGUACAUACCUACAUCAUGUGGAUCACUCACUGUUGAUGUUGCCGCCUGCAUUCUGCACAAGCUUUUUGUUGGGUUGUGUCUUGUUGCUGUCUUUGGUUGUAUCUUUGUAACCAGAUUUCUUGCCUGGUUCAUCCCAGUUUCCUUUUUCCAUACAAAACUAGCAAAGGUCUUGGGGCUCUGUACAGCUUUGUGGUGAUUCAAUAAAUCUCACUUCCCAUACAACCUGCUUGCAAUCUGUUUCCAGGUUGCAAAUGUCUGUACUGUUAACUCAACCUAAUGUUUAUACACUGUUUUUCCAAUCUCACAAUAGCUUCAUAUUUUCUGCCAUCUUUAACAGAUGUGUUAACAUUGUGAUCUUUGUUUUCCUCCAAAGGUCUUAUUGUAAAGUUUUGUUAGAUGUUGGGAUUAUUGCCAGCUUCAUUAUCUGCUCAGGCUGCUCAGCCUCUGAAAAAUCAGUCUUCACCCUUGUGGCACUUUCUGACAAACUGAUCAAUUGAUUCGUGCAGCUGUUGCCUGUCAGACAUCAGUUGUGGAUUGUGAAUUCUGAAGUUUACUUUUACAAAAAGCUAAUUUAUAGCAUUUCCUUUAGCUUAGGAAGAUCUCUCUGAUUCUUUUAAGACAGCUCUGAGGUGUUGAUUCUGUGAAACAUUACUUUUCCAAUGAUUUUCUUUAUUUUGCUUGCUUACCAUGUUCUGUCAUGGACAUAUCUGUAAAGCAUAGCUCUAUCCUUUUUUUAAAGAGCUUAAAUUUAGAUAGGAUGCCUGUGGCCUUCCAAUUCAUAUGGUUAUCUUCCUAGUAUUUCCUAUAUUUUGCAAAUGAUAUCAAUGUCUAAAGGAUUUGUAGUAGCCUUGCAAUGAUAAUGUCAUUCUGUGGAGAUUCAGCAAUGCAACUGCUGUGUUCCUUCUUUUCCCUCAAUUCUACCCUGUGCUGAUUUCAACUACAGUUUAAACUUAUCUUUGUUGUUUUUGUCUGAUAUGGUAAAGCAUCUGUGGUUGUCUUGAUGGUCAUGCCGAGAAAAAUUUGGAACUUAAUUCCUGUCUGAACAGGCUCAGAAGUCAAAUACUUACUGUUCACAUAAUGAUCCAUUUUCUGAGGCCCCAUUAUAAAUGUAACUGGUUGUCUGAAGCCUUUUGCUUUCCUUUUCAAGAUUUGUAUUGCUACCUCAUUUUUAAAAAUGUCCCCAGCACAAAUCACCAUGUUGCAUUUCUUGUAUAUUUUUGGUAAAUAAUCCAUAUUAAUAGUUUAGAUUCAGUAAUUACAUGCAGGUUUAUUCAACAGCUCAGACUACAACUUACAUCUGCAAAUAACUAGGUGUGUGUUCUCCUUCUAGUGUGUUUCCGCUAGAUUGUCCAUGAGAGUUGUUUGCAUGAUGUCAAAUGAACAAGUGAACAAAUUUACAAGUACAGCACAGGAACAGGCCCUUCGGCCCUCCAAGCCAGUGCUGACCAUCAUGCCCUAAUUAAUCUAAAAGCAGACUGCCAUUUUUUGAUCCAUUUCCCUCUCUUCCCUCCCUAUUCAUGUGCCCAUCUAAGUGCCUCUGAAAUGUUUUCAAUGUGCCCUCUUCCACCUCCUCUUCUGGCAGUGCAUUCCAGGUUGCUACCACUCUGAGUGAAAAACUUUCUUCACACAUCUCCCCUAAACUUUCUCCCUCUGACCUUGAACCUGUGCACCCUUGUAAUUGAAGCUUCAGCCCUGGGGAAAAUGCCUCUGCCUAUCCACCCUAUCUAUGCCUCUCAUGAUUUUGUUGGCCCCCAUCAGGUCUCCUCUCAGCUGCCAUCUUUCCAGCGAAAACAAUCCUCGUCUUUUUAACCUUUCUUCAUAGCCAAUGCUUUGGAGACCAGGCAACAUCCUGGUGAGCCUUCUCUGCACCCUCUCCAAAACUUCCACAUCCUUCUGAGAGUGUGGUGACCAAAAUUGCAUACAAUGCUCCAAACGCAGCCUAACAAUGGUUUUAUAUAGCUGCAACACGUUUUGCCAACUCUUGUACUCCACACCCUGGGCAAGGAAGAAAAGCAUGCUACUUAAUCACCUUGGCUACCUGUGAUACCAUUUCCAAGGACCUCGAUCCUUCUGAAUGUUAAAUGUUCCUACAGUACAAUUCACACCUAAAUUUGCUCCUCCAAAAUGCAUCACCUUGCAUUUGUCAGCCGUUUCUGUGCUCAAGUCGCCAAUGCAUCCAUACCCUGUUGUGUACUUUUACGAUCGUUGCCAGUAUCAGCAAUUCCACCAAUCUUUGUGUCAUCAGCAAAUUUGCUUAUCAGAUCACACAUGUUUUCCUCCGGACAAUUUAUACAUAUUACAAACAGCAAAGGACCUAAGACUGACCCCUGUGGAACACCACCAGUUACCAGUCUCCAUUCUGAAAAACAUCCUUCCACCACUACCCUCCGUCUUCUAUCACCAAGCCAGUUUUCCAUCCAUCUAGCCAGGCCACCCCAAAUUCCUUGUGACUUCAGUUUUUGCGCCAACUUGCUAUGUGGGAAUUUAUCAAAUACCUUACUAAAGUCCAUACAAACUACAUCCACAGCCCUUACCUCAUCAAUUAUCCUCACUAGCUCUUCAUAAUGUUGAUAGUAUCGAGGGCUAUUGCCGGCUUCAGCAAGACAUUGACAGAAUGCAGAGCUGGGCUGAGAAAUGGCAGAUGGAGUUCAACCUGGAUAAGUGCGAAGUGAUGCAUUUUGGAAGGUCGAACUUAAAUGCUGAAUAUAGGAUUAAAGGCAGGAUUCUCGGCAGUGUGGAGGAACAACGGGAUCUUGGUGUUCAAGUGUAUAGCUCCCUCAAAGUUGCCACCCAAGUGGAUAAGGUUGUUAAGAAAGCAUAUGGUGUUUUGGCUUUCAUUAACGGGGGAUUGAGUUUAAGAGCCGCGAGGUUAUGCUGCAGCUCUACAAAACCCUGGUGAGACCACACUUGGAAUAUUGUGUCCAGUUCUGGUCGCCCCAUUAUAGGAAAGAUGUGGAGGCUUUGGAGAGGGUGCAAAGGAGGUUUACCAGGAUGCUGCCUGGACUGGAGGGCUUGUCUUAUGAGGAGCGGUUGAAUGAGCUCGAACUUUUCUCUCUGGAGAGAAGGAGGAAGAGAGGUGACCUGAUCGAGGUGUACAAGGUAAUGAGAGGCAUGGAUAGAGUCGAUAGCCAGAGACUUUUCCCCAGGGCAGGAUUGACUGCCACGAGGGGUCAUAGUUUUAAGGUGUUAGGCGGAAGGUAUAGAGGAGACGUCAGAGGGAGGUUCUUCACCCAGAGAGUUGAGAGCUCAUGGAAUACUUUGCCAGUGUUAGUUGUGGAAGUGGAGUCAUUAGUGACAUUUAAGCAACUGCUGGACAUGCACAUGGACAGCAGUGAAUUGAGGGGAAUGUAGGUUAGGUUAUUUUAUUUUUGGAUUAGGAUUAUUCCACGGCAUAACAUCGUGGUCCGACGGGCCUGUACUAUGCUGUACUUUUCUAUGUUCUAUAAAAUUUAAUCGGGUUGGUGAGACACGGUCUUCCCUGGACAAAACCAUGCUGCCUGUCAGUAAAUAGCCCAUCUUCCCCCAAAUGCACAUAUAUCUUGACCCUCAGUAUCUUCUCCAAGAGCUUCCCCACCACAGAUGUCAAGCUCACUAGCCUAUAGUUUCCUGGAUUAUCCCUGCAUCCUUUCUCAAACAUUGAAGGGGAACAACAUUGGCUAACCUCCAGUCCUCUGUAACUUCACUUGUGGUCAAUGAAGACGUGGAGGUAUCUGCCAGUGCUCCAGCUAUUUCCUCCCUUGCCUCAUCCUUGGCUCAUUAGUAUGUCUAUCAGUUAAAGCUACACGACUCUUAAAGCAAUAGCAUAAAUUUGUAAAUUGAACACACUUUUAGACAAUGAGUUUCUGAGAACUUUCAUCCUAUGUAUGUAAAACAUACUACCAAGCACCCUUCUGACUCCUCUUCUAUUGAUUUCACAUCCUCCAGAUAUGGAGCAAACCAAGAAGCUUCUUUGUGAGGUUAGAGGUGGCGGGGGGUUGGUGGAGAGGUGUGGGAGGAGGAACAGGAAGAGAAAGCAGCAACCCAGACAUUCAGUCCAAUGUCUCCUGACUGUCCCUCCCUUGCACCUCUCCUCCCACACACACACAAACUCUCUCUCUCUCUCACACACACACACACACAGGACCCAGACCUAAAACCCACACAGAGACUAAGCUGCAGUUUCAAGACAGGCAUAAAACACUUUUAUCCAGAUAAGGGAACAGAACAAAACCAGCCCAGCUUGUCCCCUACCCCCACGACAUCCCAAAACCAGCCCAGCUCGUCCCCGCCUCCCUAACAUAAACAAGCAUAUGGAUGUACAUGGAAUAGUGUAGGUUAGAUGGGCUUCAGAUUGGUAUGACAGGUCAGCACAACAUCGAAGGCCGAAGGGCCUGUACUGUGCUGUGAUGUUCUAUGCUCUAUGUACUAUGUACCUAACCUGUUCUUCCUCUCACCUAUCCCCUCCUCCCAUCUCAAGUCACACCUCCAUUUCCCACCUACUAACCUUAUCCCGCCUCCUUGACCUGUCCGUCCCUCCUGGACUGACCUCUCCCCUCCCUACCUAUACUCUCCUCUCCACCUAUCUUCUCCUCUAUCCAUCUUCGGUCCACCUUCCCCUCUCUCCCUAUUUAUUUCAGAACCCUCUCCCAAUCCCCCUCUCUGAUGAAGGGUCUAGGCCCAAAACAUCAGCUUUUGUGCUCCUAAGGUGCUGCUUGGCCUGCUGUGUUCAUCCAGCUUCACACUUUGUUAUCUCGGAUUCUCCAGCAUCUGCAGUUCCCAUUAUCAUUGGUAGAAUGCAGAGCUGGGUUGAGAAGUGGCAGAUGGAGUUUAAACCUGAAAAGUGUGAGGUGAUUCAUUUUGGAAGGAUAAACUUGAAAGCAGAAUACAGGGUUAAUGGAAAGAUUCUUGGUGGUGUAGAGGGCAGAGGGAUCUUGGGGUUCAUGUCCAAAGUUUCCUGAAAGCUGCCACCCAGGAAGAAGGCGUAUUGUGCGUUAGCUUUCGUUAAUAGAGGGAUUGAGUUCAAGAGCCGUGAAGUUAUGCUCCAGCUAUACAAAAGCCUGGUUCGGCCACAUCCGGAGUAUUGUGUCCAGUUCUGGUCGCCUCAUUGCAGGAAAGAUGUGGAAGCAUUAGAAAAGGUGCAAAGGCGAUUUACCAGGAUGUUGGCUGGAACAGAGGGAAGGCCAUACGAGGAAAGGUUGCGAGAGCUAAGGCUUUUCUCUUUAGUAUGACAAAGGAUGAGAGGUGACUUGAUAGAGGUGGACAAAAUGAUCAGAGGUAUCGAUAGAGUGGACAACCAGAGACUGUUUAGGGUGGAGGAAGCUAUUACGAGAGGACAUAGUUUUAAAGUGAGUGGAGGUAGAUAUAGGGGAGACGUCAUAAGUAGGUUCUUUACUCAGAGUGGUAGAGGCAUGGAAUGCAUUGCUAGAGAGGGCAGUGAAAUAGACCUCAUUAGGGGCAUUUAAGCAGCUAUUAGAUAGGCAUAUGGAGGACAGUAUAAGGUAGGGGUGGGGGUUAGAUAGACCUUAGGUCUAAGGUAAAAGUUCGGCACAACAUUGUGGGCUGAAAGGCCUGUACUGUGCAGUUCUAUGUUCUAUGUUAAUAUCUAUAUCCACUGAUAUUUCCAACUUCCUCUACUGGAGAAAGUUAGUCCUUCCUUUCAGACCCCUCAUAAUUUUAUACAUUUUAAUUAAUUCAUCCCCUCAUUCUCUUCUGUUAAAAGGAAGCUUUUUUUUUAAUUUAAGCUUAAUUUUUUAAAAAAUGUAAAAAAUUGCCAACCCUGAUAACAUUCUUCAAACCUCCUUUGUGUUCUCUCCAAGGCAAUUGCAUCUUUCCUGGUUCAAGGAUUCUCUGUUUCUCUAGAGCAUAAAGACUCACUGUUUGACCUAAUGUAUCUGUGCUGCUUUUUUGCAAUCCUCCUCCAACUCUAAAUACUUCUUCCCAACCAACUUUUAUUGCAUUCCAUUCUCAUGCACUUUAUGUACUUGACAACCUUUGCUUCAAAGGCAUUAAUUCUAUUUGCUUAAGUACUCCAUGUGUCAGCAGGCUCUGCAUUUUCAACAUGGCCUGUAGAUGAAAAUUCCUUCCAAGUUCUCUGUUUGAUCUGAUGCUAGGUCUUAUCAUUAUUCUCCCGUGUUUUGAUCGCACCAUCAAAUAGAAAUCACUUAUCAACCAUCUUAGGAAUAUCAUCAUAAGUUUAAAGCACCCCCUUUGUCUGUCCAACUGUCUUUCUCUCUUGUUGGGCUCCAUCCUAUCGUUUAAUCCCUACCCCACCAACCUCCCUAUUUUCUGCAUAUAAACUGAUGUUUUCCCAGCCACCAUCAGUUCUGAAGAAGGGUGAGUGGACCCGAAAUGUCAACUGUUUUCUCCUCCACAGAUGCUGCCAGACCUGCUGAGCUUUUCCAGCAACUUUAUUUUUGUUCCCAAUUUACAGCAUCCACAGAUCUUUUGGUUUUUAUAAUUUUAAAGGCCUUUGUCAGUUCGCCUCUCAAUCGUCUCUUCCACAAAGAGCCCCAGCCUGCUUAGUCUUUCCUGUUUGUAGCAUCCCUUCAAUUCUUAACAUUCUGGUAAUUUUUUUCUGUGCUUUCUGUAGUGUUUCAACAUUAUGUUUGCAGAAUGAAAACUAGAACGGCAUGCUGGGUUUCAAGCAUGAGGCUAACAAAUAUCUAACAGUGUCGCUAUGUUUUUAUGUUUUAAUCAUCCAUUAAUAAACUCAAGCUGCUAUUUUAUAGUAUUA